AUUGAACGCUGGCGGCAUGCCUUACACAUGCAAGUCGAACGGCAGCACGGGAGCAAUCCUGGUGGCGAGUGGCGAACGGGUGAGUAAUAUAUCGGAACGUGCCCAGUCGUGGGGAUAACGUAGCGAAAGCUACGCUAAUACCGCAUACGAUCUAUGGAUGAAAGCGGGGGAUCGCAAGACCUCGCGCGAUUGGAGCGGCCGAUAUCAGAUUAGGUAGUUGGUGAGGUAAAGGCUCACCAAGCCGACGAUCUGUAGCUGGUCUGAGAGGACGACCAGCCACACUGGGACUGAGACACGGCCCAGACUCCUACGGGAGGCAGCAGUGGGGAAUUUUGGACAAUGGGCGCAAGCCUGAUCCAGCAAUGCCGCGUGCAGGAUGAAGGCCUUCGGUUGUAACUGCUUUGUUACGGAACGAAACGGUGAGCUCUAAUACAGUUGCUAAUGACGGUACCGUAAGAAUAAG
rnacentral:rRNA from 1 species